rnacentral:pre_miRNA from 1 species
AGUGGAAUUGCUAGGUCAUAUGGUUACUCUUUAAAUUUUUGAAGAACUGCCAAACUGUUUAUUAAAGUUGCUAUACUAUUCUACAUUCCCACCAGCAAC